rnacentral:rRNA from 1 species
GAUCCUGGCUCAGAAUCAACGCUGGCGGCGUGCCUAACACAUGCAAGUCGCACGAGAAGGGGUAGCAAUACCUGAGUAAAGUGGCGCACGGGUGAGUAACACGUGAAUCAUCUACCUCCGAGUGGGGAAUAACUGAGAGAAAUCUUAGCUAAUACCGCAUAACACUUACGAGUCAAAGCAGCAAUGCGCUUGGAGAGGAGUUCGCGGCAGAUUAGUUAGUUGGCGGGGUAAUGGCCCACCAAGACGAUGAUCUGUAUCCGGCCUGAGAGGGCGCACGGACACACUGGAACUGAAACACGGUCCAGACUCCUACGGGAGGCAGCAGUGGGGAAUUUUGCGCAAUGGGGGAAACCCUGACGCAGCAACGCCGCGUGGAGGAUGAAAUCCCUUGGGAUGUAAACUCCUUUCGAUAGGGAAGAUAAUGACGGUACCUAUAGAAGAAGCCCCGGCUAACUUCGUGCCAGCAGCCGCGGUAAUACGAGGGGGGCAAGCGUUGUUCGGAUUUAUUGGGCGUAAAGGGUGCGUAGGCGGUUUGGCAAGUCUUGUGUGAAAUCUUUGGGCUCAACCCAAAGUCUGCAUAAGAAACUGCCGGGCUUGAGUAUGGGAGAGGUGAGUGGAAUUUCCGGUGUAGCGGUGAAAUGCGUAGAUAUCGGAAGGAACACCUGUGGCGAAAGCGGCUCACUGGACCAU